UACGUAGGGGGCUAGCGUUGUCCGGAAUCAUUGGGCGUAAAGCGCGUGUAGGCGGCCCGGUAAGUCCGCUGUGAAAGUCGGGGGCUCAACCCUCGGAUGCCGGUGGAUACUGGUCGGGCUCGAGUACGGAAGAGGAGAUGGAAUUCCUGGUGUAGCGGUGAAAUGCGCAGAUAGUCAGGAAGAACGCCCAUGGCGAAGGCGGUCUCGUGGGACGGUACUGACG
rnacentral:rRNA from 1 species